rnacentral:rRNA from 1 species
GAUGAACGCUGGCGGCGUGCCUAAUACAUGCAAGUCGAGCGAACGGACGAGAAGCUUGCUUCUCUGAUGUUAGCGGCGGACGGGUGAGUAACACGUGGAUAACCUACCUAUAAGACUGGGAUAACUUCGGGAAACCGGAGCUAAUACCGGAUAAUAUUUUGAACCGCAUGGUUCAAAAGUGAAAGACGGUCUUGCUGUCACUUAUAGAUGGAUCCGCGCUGCAUUAGCUAGUUGGUAAGGUAAUGGCUUACCAAGGCAACGAUGCAUAGCCGACCUGAGAGGGUGAUCGGCCACACUGGAACUGAGACACGGUCCAGACUCCUACGGGAGGCAGCAGUAGGGAAUCUUCCGCAAUGGGCGAAAGCCUGACGGAGCAACGCCGCGUGAGUGAUGAAGGUCUUCGGAUCGUAAAACUCUGUUAUUAGGGAAGAACAUAUGUGUAAGUAACUGUGCACAUCUUGGCGGUACCUAAUCAGAAAGCCACGGCUAACUACGUG